rnacentral:rRNA from 1 species
UACGGAGGGGGCGAGCGUUGUCCGGAUUUACUGGGCGUAAAGCGCGUGUAGGCGGCGAUUUAAGUUCGUGGUGAAAGGCGGGGGCUUAGCCCCCGAGCGGCCACGGAAACUGGAACGCUUGAGUGUCGGAGAGGGGAGUGGAAUUCUCGGUGUAGCGGUGAAAUGCGUAGAGAUCGAGAGGAACGCCCGUGGCGAAGGCGGCUCCCUGGCCGAACACUGACGCUGAGACGCGAAAGCGCGGGGAGCGAACGGG